GGUUAAGUAAGAAAGGGCGCACGGCGGAUGCCUUGGCACUAGGAGCCGAUGAAGGACGGGACCAACACCGAUAUGCUCUGGGGAGCUGUAAGUAAGCUUGGAUCCAGAGAUUUCCGAAUGGGGAAACCUCGCAUUUUUCAUCGAAUGCGGCUUGACCUGUGAAUACAUA
rnacentral:rRNA from 1 species